rnacentral:hammerhead_ribozyme from 1 species
GCACUGCUGACGAGUCCCAAACAGAAUAAAACAGCUGUCCAGUGC